rnacentral:rRNA from 1 species
GAUGAACGCUGGCGGCGUGCCUAAUACAUGCAAGUCGAGCGAACAGACGAGGAGCUUGCUCCUUUGACGUUAGCGGCGGACGGGUGAGUAACACGUGGGUAACCUACCUAUAAGACUGGGAUAACUUCGGGAAACCGGAGCUAAUACCGGAUAAUAUUUCGAACCGCAUGGUUCGAUAGUGAAAGAUGGCUCUGCUAUCACUUAUAGAUGGACCUGCACCGUAUUAGCUAGUUGGUAAGGUAACGGCUUACCAAGGCAACGAUACGUAGCCGACCUGAGAGGGUGAUCGGCCACACUGGAACUGAGACACGGUCCAGACUCCUACGGGAGGCAGCAGUAGGGAAUCUUCCGCAAUGGGCGAAAGCCUGACGGAGCAACGCCGCGUGAGUGAUGAAGGUCUUCGGAUCGUAAAACUCUGUUAUUAGGGAAGAACAAACGUGUAAGUAACUGUGCACGUCUUGACGGUACCUAAUCAGAAAGCCACGGCUAACUACGUG